rnacentral:rRNA from 1 species
GGAUGAACGCUGGCGGCGUGCCUACUCCAUGCAAGUCGAGCGAACAGACGAGGAGCUUGCUCCUCUGACGUUAGCGGCGGACGGGUGAGUAACACGUGGAUAACCUACCUAUAAGACUGGGAUAACUUCGGGAAACCGGAGCUACUACCGGAUAAUAUAUUGAACCGCAUGGUUCAAUAGUGAAAGACGGUUUUGCUGUCACUUAUAGAUGGAUCCGCGCCGCAUUAGCUAGUUGGUAAGGUAACGGCUUACCAAGGCGACGAUGCGUAGCCGACCUGAGAGAGUGAUCGGCCACACUGGAACUGAGACACGGUCCAGACUCCUACGGGAGGCAGCAGUAGGGAAUCUUCCGCAAUGGGCGAAAGCCUGACGGAGCAACGCCGCGUGAGUGAUGAAGGUCUUCGGAUCGUAAAACUCUGUUAUUAGGGAAGAACAAAUGUGUAAGUAACUAUGCACGUCUUGACGGUACCUAAUCAGAAAGCCACGGCUAACUACGUG